rfam:Ornithorhynchus anatinus chromosome X1, whole genome shotgun sequence.
GCCCUCUCAGGAUCACACCUGGAGAGUUUUCAGUACUCUACCAGGCUCGGCUAUGAGAGGGAGAGUCGAUCAGAGGCAUACUCAUUCCAUUCCUAGCUUGGGCAAUGGCUAGCGAGUGGAAGGCAAUCUGCUACAAGU